GGCGUAAAAACUUUUGAGGCAAAAGGAUCAAAAUUUGCACAAAUUUUCGUAGAUUCAUUGACCAAGUCAACGUGGUCUGAAAGAUUGAGACCUCUGCCAUUAUAAAUCAUGGAGGAAAGGUCGAAGAAAUUCGGAAUAUCUGCGUGAGUUUGUUUCCGCAGAAUCAACACCAAACAAAGCCCGACGGAGAGUAAUAAAAGGGAAGGGAAGAGGUGUUCUUCCCCUGUGUUACUUUCCUUCCUCUGUGUUACUACCAUCUUCAGCGCGCACGCGAGAGAGAGAGAAUGGUGAGAGGAGGGAGGCAUUCAAGAAAAAUGGGGGGCAGAUCGACUUGCACCCUCGUCCUCUUCAUGCUCUUCAUGCUCUCUGUUGUCUUUCUUGUCCUACUCGCACUGGGUAUCGUCUCAUUGCCUCUUAAUGACAAUGCCCAAGAUGGCUUGUCCAAUGAAGCCGGAUCGUCGUCAAGCACCGAAGAAAUAGUCGAUAUGAUUAAUAUUCAGAGGUGGAAUAAUGGAAUCGAUGGGCCAAAACAGUGGAUGGAGAUACUUUCUUGGGAGCCCAGAGCGUUUCUUUAUCAUAAUUUUCUGUCAAGAUCAGAGUGUGAGCACUUAAUAAAUCUUGCUCAGCCACACAUGAAGAAAUCCACGGUUGUAGACAGCCAGACUGGUCGAAGCAUGGAUAGCAGGGUUCGCACCAGCUCUGGCACAUUUCUGAACAGAGGACAAGACGAGAUUAUCAAAGGCAUUGAAAGCAGGAUUGCAGAAGUCUCAUUUAUACCUAUUGAACAUGGGGAGGGGCUUCAAGUUCUUCACUAUGCAGUUGGACAGAAAUAUGAAGCUCAUUAUGACUACUUCCAUGACAAUGUUCACAUUUUGAAGGGUGGACAACGUAUGGCAACAAUGCUUAUGUAUCUUUCUGAUGUUGAGAAAGGUGGAGAAACUGUAUUUCCUAAAGUUCAAGUUAACAGCAGUUCUGUUCCAUGGUGGGAUGAGCUAUCAGACUGUGCAAAAGCUGGAAUUUCUGUUCGGCCUAGAAUGGGAGAUGCUUUACUUUUUUGGAGCAUGCAUCCGGAUGCAUCACUUGAUUCAUUAAGUUUGCAUGGUAAGGACCUGCUAUGAAGCAAAAACUGUACAGGUUAGAGCACACUGUCGUAGGACUGAUUCCUUUCUGCAACAGGUGGUUGUCCAGUCAUACAGGGAGAUAAAUGGUCAGCGACAAAAUGGAUGCGCGUAAGACCUUACACCAUUUGAAUCAAAAUUGAAGUGAGUUUCACAAGUCGAUGAGGAUGAGAUUGUUCACAACAUGAACAUUCUCCAAAUUUUCUGUGGACUUUUUGGCAUUGAUCCAAGGAAAGAAACUUCUGUAACACUAUUCUAGUUUCAAUGAUUCUGUUGUAAAGUGCAAUUGAUAUUCAUACUUGCACUAACGGAUGAUUUAAAAAAAUAAAAAAAAGAGAGAAAGUUAUCCCAA